rnacentral:ncRNA from 2 species
CAUAAUUAUCAAGAAUCUCAUAGAUGGGAUAGCAACCUGCAAAAACAAGCAAGGUGCUAAAAUAGAUAAGCCGGCUCAGCUCCGGAAAAAAUGUUUUUCUA